AUGAUUGACGACGGAGCAUGUUUUGAGAGAGAAUAUGUCCUCUUUGAACAUAUGGGGAUGCUCUGUCGUCAUGUUCUGAAGGUCAUGGAUAAUAUUGGGAUGAAAGAAAAUACAAAGAGACACAUAGUGAAAAGGCGGACAAAAUAUCCAAGAGAUAUUUUGCCAGAUCACUUGAAGCACUACUGGCUGGACCAGAUCAACAACACAUCCCUAACUUUUCGGCACAACCGGAUGUACAUUAGGGCGUUGGAACUGGUUCGACUUGGAGACGCAAGUGUUGAGGCAUAUCAAACUCUGAUGGGGCUUUUAGACCAGGCCAUGCCGGUGAUGGACCCUUUUGACAAAUGUCGUGACAGGCUAGGGCUUGGAAGACUGUGGAUAACAACAAUGUGGCAGAUACCGACGGGGAGCGAGCUGGGAGAAGUAUAUGUGAAGACGACAAAAUGUCAUGCAGCAUGA
rnacentral:rRNA from 1 species